rnacentral:snRNA from 1 species
GAUGCUCUUCAAGAUUGG